UGGGGAAUUUUGGGCAAUGGGCGAAAGCCUGACCCAGCAACGCCGCGUGAAGGAUGAAGUAUUUCGGUAUGUAAACUUCGAAAGAAUAGGAAGAAUAAAUGACGGUACUAUUUAUAAGGUCCGGCUAACUACGUGCCAGCAGCCGCGGUAAUACGUAGGGACCAAGCGUUGUUCGGAUUUACUGGGCGUAAAGGGCGCGUAGGCGGUGUGUCAAGUCAGUUGUGAAAUCUCCGAGCUUAACUCGGAACGGUCAACUGAUACUGUCACACUAGAGUACAGAAGGGGCAAUCGGAAUUCUUGGUGUAGCGGUGAAAUGCGUAGAUAUCAAGAGGAACACCUGAGGCGAAGGCGGGUUGCUGGGCUGAUACUGACGCUGAGGCGCGAAAGCUAGGGUAGCAAACGGGAUUAGAUACCCCGGUAGUCCCUGAGCGGGCUGGCAAGGCGCAU
rnacentral:rRNA from 1 species